rnacentral:rRNA from 1 species
UACGGGGGGGGCAGGCGUUGUUCGGAAUUACUGGGCGUAAAGGGCUCGUAGGCGGCCAACUAAGUCAGACGUGAAAUCCCUCGGCUUAACCGGGGAACUGCGUCUGAUACUGGAUGGCUUGAGUUUGGGAGAGGGAUGCGGAAUUCCAGGUGUAGCGGUGAAAUGCGUAGAUAUCUGGAGGAACACCGGUGGCGAAGGCGGCAUCCUGGACCAACACUGACGCUGAGGAGCGAAAGCCAGGGGAGCAAACGGG